GUGAGGAAUUUUCCGCAAUGGGCGAAAGCCUGACGGAGCAAUGCCGCGUGAAGGAUGAAGGCCUAUGGGUUGUAAACUUCUUUUCUCAGAAAAGAAUUAUGACGGUAUCUGAGGAAUAAGCAUCGGCUAACUCUGUGCCAGCAGCCGCGGUAAGACAGAGGAUGCAAGCGUUAUCCGGAAUGAUUGGGCGUAAAGCGUCUGUAGGUUGUUUAAAAAGUAUUCUGUCAAAGAUUAGGGCUUAACCCUAGAUAGGCAGAAUAAACUUUUAAGCUAGAGUUUGGUAGGGGCAGAGGGAAUUCCCGGUGGAGCGGUGAAAUGCGUAGAUAUCGGGAGGAACACCAAAGGCGAAGGCACUCUGCUGGGCCAAUACUAACACUGAGAGACGAAAGCGAGGGGAGCAAAUGGGAUUAGAAACCCGAGUAGUCC
rnacentral:rRNA from 1 species